rnacentral:rRNA from 1 species
AGAGUUUGAUCCUGGCUCAGAACGAACGCUGGCGGCGUGGAUAAGACAUGCAANGUCGAACGGGACAUUUCAGGUAGCAAUAUUUGAAAUGUUCAGUGGCGAACGGGUGCGUAACACGUGGAUUACAUUCCGGGAAGCGGGGGAUAGCCCAGGGAAACUUGGAUUAAUACCGCAUGUGGUCGAAAGACUAAAGGUGGGGACCGCAAGGCCUGCCACUUCCCGAUUGGUCCGCGGCCUAUCAGCUUGUUGGUGAGGUAAUGGCUCACCAAGGCUACGACGGGUAGCUGGUCUUAGAGGACGACCAGCCACACUGGAACUGAGACACGGUCCAGACACCUACGGGUGGCAGCAGUCGAGAAUCUUUCACAAUGGGGGCAACCCUGAUGGAGCGACGCCGCGUGGAGGAUAAGGUCUUCGGAUUGUAAACUCCUGUCAUGCGAGAACAAGGUACCCGGGUUA